UACGGAGGGGACUAGCGUUGUUCGGAAUUACUGGGCGUAAAGCGCACGUAGGCGGAUUUGUAAGUCAGGGGUGAAAUCCCGGGGCUCAACCUCGGAACUGCCUUUGAUACUGCAAAUCUCGAGUCCGGAAGAGGUGAGUGGAAUUCCUAGUGUAGAGGUGAAACUCGUAGAUAUUAGGAAGAACACCAGUGGCGAAGGCGGCUCACUGGUCCGGUACUGACGCUGAGGCGCGAAAGCGUGGGGAGCAAACAGG
rnacentral:rRNA from 1 species